UACGGAGGGUGCGAGCGUUAAUCGGAAUUACUGGGCGUAAAGCGUGCGCAGGCGGUUUUGUAAGCCAGAUGUGAAAGCCCCGGGCUUAACCUGGGAAUGGCAUUUGGGACUGCAAGGCUGGAGUGUGGCAGAGGAGACUGGAAUUCCUGGUGUAGCAGUGAAAUGCGUAGAUAUCAGGAGGAAUACCGAUGGCGAAGGCAGGUCUCUGGGCUGACACUGACGCUCAUGCACGAAAGCGUGGGGAGCAAACAGG
rnacentral:rRNA from 1 species